GCACCCUCUGUAUGUAUACAAAAUUGGAACACUACGGACAAGAUUAGCGUGGCCCUGCACAAACAUGAGAUGCAAAUUUGUGUAGAGUUCCACAUUUUU
rnacentral:snRNA from 1 species